rnacentral:rRNA from 1 species
AGCGAACGCUGGCGGCAGGCCUAACACAUGCAAGUCGAACGGACCCUUCGGGGUUAGUGGCGGACGGGUGAGUAACACGUGGGAACGUGCCUUUCGGUUCGGAAUAGCUCCUGGAAACGGGGGGUAAUGCCGCAUGUGCCCUUCGGGGGAAAGAUUUAUCGCCUUUAGAGCGGCCCGCGUCUGAUUAGCUAGUUGGUGAGGUAAUGGCUCACCAAGGCGACGAUCAGUAGCUGGUCUGAGAGGAUGACCAGCCACACUGGGACUGAGACACGGCCCAGACUCCUACGGGAGGCAGCAGUGGGGAAUCUUGCGCAAUGGGCGAAAGCCUGACGCAGCCAUGCCGCGUGAAUGAUGAAGGUCUUAGGAUUGUAAAAUUCUUUCACCGGGGACGAUAAUGACGGUACCCGGAGAAGAAGCCCCGGCUAACUUCGUGCCAGCAGCCGCAGUAA